rnacentral:rRNA from 1 species
GACGAACGCUGGCGGCGUGCUUAACACAUGCAAGUCGAACGGAAAGGCCCUGCUUUUGUGGGGUGCUCGAGUGGCGAACGGGUGAGUAACACGUGAGUAACCUGCCCUUGACUUUGUGAUAACUUCAGGAAACUGGGGCUAAUACCGGAUAGGAGCUCCUGCUGCAUGGUGGGGGUUGGAAAGUUUCGGCGGUUGGGGAUGGACUCGCGGCUUAUCAGCUUGUUGGUGGGGUAGUGGCGUACCAAGGCUUUGACGGGUAGCCGGCCUGAGAGGGUGACCGGCCACAUUGGGACUGAGAUACGGCCCAGACUCCUACGGGCGGCAGCAGUGGGGAGUAUUGCACAAUGGGCGGAAGCCUGAUGCAGCAACGCCGCGUGCGGGAUGACGGCCUUCGGGUUGUAAACCGCUUUCGCCUGUGACGAAGCGUGAGUGACGGUAAUGGGUAAAGAAGCACCGGCUAACUACGUG